GACGAACGCUGGCGGCGUGCUUAACACAUGCGAGUCGAACGCUGAAGCCCAGCUUUUGUUGGGUGGAUGAGUGGCGACCGGGUGAGUAACACGUGAGUAACCUGCCCCCUUCUUUGGGAUAACGCCCGGAAACGGGUGCUAAUACUGGAUAUUCACUGGUCUUCGCAUGGGGGUUGGUGGAAAGGGUUUUUCUGGUUGGGGAUGGGCUCGCGGCCUAUCAUCUUGUUGGUGGGGUGAUGGCCUACCAAGGCUUUGACGGGUAGCCGGCCUGAGAGGGUGACCGGUGACAUUGGGACUGCGAUACGGCCCAGACUCGUACGGGAGGCGGCAGUGGGGAAGAUUGCACAAUGGGCGCAAGCCUGAUGCAGCGACGCCGCGUGAGGGAUGGAGGCCUUCGGGUUGUGAACCUCUUUCGCUCAUGGUCAAGCCGCAACAAUGGUUGUGGUGAGGGUAGUGGGUAAAGAAGCGCCGGCUAACUACGUG
rnacentral:rRNA from 1 species